GACGAACGCUGGCGGCGUGCUUAACACAUGCAAGUCGAACGGAAAGGCCCUGCUUUUGUGGGGUGCUCGAGUGGCGAACGGGUGAGUAACACGUGAGUAACCUGCCCUUGACUUUGGGAUAACUUCAGGAAACUGGGGCUAAUACCGGAUAGGAGCUCCUGCUGCAUGGUGGGGGUUGGAAAGUUUCGGCGGUUGGGGAUGGACUCGCGGCUUAUCAGCUUGUUGGUGGGGUAGUGGCUUACCAAGGCUUUGACGGGUAGCCGGCCUGAGAGGGUGACCGGCCACAUUGGGACUGAGAUACGGCCCAGACUCCUACGGGAGGCAGCAGUGGGGAAUAUUGCAGAAUGGGCGGAAGCCUGAUGCAGCAACGCCGCGUGCGGGAUGACGGCCUUCGGGUUGUAAACCGCUUUCGCCUGUGACGAAGCGUGAGUGACGGUAAUGGGUAAAGAAGCACCGGCUAACUACGU
rnacentral:rRNA from 1 species